CUAGCGACUUCAGAGUUUGAUCCUGGCUCAGGACGAACGCUGGCGGCGUGCCUAACACAUGCAAGUCGAACGGGGUCGUGCUCGGUGGCAACACCUUGUACGGCCUAGUGGCGAACGGGUGAGUAACACGUGAGGAACCUGCCCCGAAGACCGGGAUAACAGAAGGAAACUUCUGCUAAUACCGGAUACCCCCACCGAAUCGCAUGGUUUGGUGAGGAAAUGGAUUCCGCUUCGGGAGGGCCUCGCGGCCUAUCAGCUUGUUGGUGGGGUAACGGCCUACCAAGGCAUCGACGGGUAGCUGGUCUGAGAGGACGAUCAGCCACACUGGGACUGAGACACGGCCCAG
rnacentral:rRNA from 1 species